UCCAGUACAGUUAUCCGCAAGCUUUCUGAUCCUGUCCAGGCAGAGAUCAACAAUUUCUUUGCCGAUCGUAUAAUGCCCUCUGGCAAAGUUGUUAGCGGCGUCCUCCUUACCACUGAUAAGCUGUUCCGGAUGGAAGAGUUGACGGUAGGUUCCAGUCCGGACCUCAUCUAUCACAGUAGGUUCCAGAUCUACAAAUACCGCGCGGGGAACGUGCUUUCCGGCACCCGUUUCACUGAAGAAGGUGUUAAAUGCGUCAUCUCCACCGCCGAUUGUCUUGUCUCCGGGCAUUUGC
rnacentral:lncRNA from 1 species